rnacentral:lncRNA from 1 species
UUUUGUUAUUUCGCAUCCGUUUAGUUACAGCUAUAUACAUAUACAUAUCUACGUAUGUGCUGGACUCCCGUUCUCUACCUCAAGAAGGAGGAGUUGACGUUUACAUGUGUAUGACUACACACAAGGUUCAUUGACACGUUAUCACUUUUGUCUCUCUUUCGCUCUUAAAAAACCAGAGAGAUAGAUAACUUUGCCUUUUUCAAGACCCAGAAUGGACAAGACACAUCAACUCAACUGCACGCAACCUCUUCUCUCCUUUGCAAACUCAUACAAUAUGAUUUAGGAUGAAUAACCGUUCAUUUUCCGCCCCAAAAUGCCCUUAUUUUGCUAUUUGUCACGAGUCUCCAGUGGCUUUUUUUUAUAAAUUCACGAUAUGCCCGGAGUUUUUUUCCGGGGUUACAUCGAUUUUCAUUCGACUUAAAAAUAAAAUAAGGAAAUACCAAAAUCGAUUUCUAAAGUUCCAAAAUAAAUAGAAUUAACAUGUUUCCAUAUUGAGGUGCUCUUAAAUCACCACAAUGUCAACCCCUAAAACCGUCGCUGAAUGAGACGACAUGCGAUCGUCCUCUUUUUUGGAAAUCAAAAUAAGGUCAAUAAGGUGAUUAUGAGUCCAAUUAUAGGGAAGUGUUUGUCAAGUGGGGGCUUGUGACCAAAAUAUGGGACGCAUAUCUCUUAUAGAUGGUUUGAAUACAGGAAAAUGUUAUAUCCGGCACAAAAUAAGGUCUAUCUCAACCUCGAUUAAGGAUAAAAUAAAUAUUUGAAAUACAAAAUUGAUCCCACUAAUUAUAUAAAUACGGAGGGUAACUCUCACACGUACGCCAAGUACCAAAAAUUCUGUGCAGAUAACAUGGUACACUGAAGUCCUCCAUAGUGGCUGCAUGGGACAAAUUGAUAGAGGGGUUUGUCAUCAACUCCUGCAUGUCCUUCAUGCGACGUGUAAAGGCUGAGAUUUAUAAUGAAGGUGGCCAUAUUGAGUGAUUUUUUUUUUGAAAAAGCCUUGUCUACAUGUUUUGGCAACAUUAUUCUUUUUACCUAUUUUUGAAAAUAUAAGAUUAUUGAUGUAUUUCUAAAUCCAUCUCUCGAGUCCACGUUUUGCUGUCCUACCCUGUAUAUGUCCAUCCGGUCUGUUCUAAAUCUUAUGGUUGUGUCCAAAUCUAACACAAAAGUCGUCCCUUGGAACAAUGUUUUCUAAAUGAUAUAAUCAUAGAUAUGAUCCAGUAAUGUCAUCAUCAAUCUAAAUGCUUUUAGUUCCAAAUUCUUAUUGAAUUAUUUAUAAAUACGUUCAAAAUUGACCUAAAUAUAUUUCAUCUAUUCUGCUUA